rnacentral:rRNA from 1 species
GGCCAGACUCCUACGGGAGGCAGCAGUGAGGAAUAUUGGUCAAUGGGCGGAAGCCUGAACCAGCCAAGUCGCGUGAGGGAAGAAGGCCCUGCGGGUCGCAGACCUCUUUGGACGGGGAGCAAGGCCGCCGACGUGUCGGCGGAAGGAGAGUACCCGUAGAACAAGCAUCGGCUAACUCCGUGCCAGCAGCCGCGGUAAUACGGAGGAUGCGGGCGUUAUCCGGAUUUAUUGGGUUUAAAGGGUGCGUAGGCGGAAUAUCAAGUCAGCGGUAAAAAUUCGGGGCUCAACCCCGUCGUGCCGUUGAAACUGGGGAUCUAGAGUGUGCGAGAGGUAUGCGGAAUGCGUGGUGUAGCGGUGAAAUGCAUAGAUAUCACGCAGAACCCCGAUUGCGAAGGCAGCAUACCGGUGCACAACUGACGCUCAGGCACGAAAGCGUGGGUAUCGAACAGGAUUAGAUACCCUGGUAA